rnacentral:rRNA from 1 species
CACGUAGGGUGCGAGCGUUGUCCGGAAUUAUUGGGCGUAAAGAGCUCGUAGGCGGUGUGUCGCGUCGGCCGUGAAAACCUGCAGCUUAACUGUGGGCUUGCGGUCGAUACGGGCAUCACUGGAGUUCGGCAGGGGAGACUGGAAUUCCUGGUGUAGCGGUGAAAUGCGCAGAUAUCAGGAGGAACACCCGGUGGCGAAGGCGGG